GUGCUCAUUUCAGCAGCACAUACACUAAAAUUGGAACAAUACAGAAAAAAUUAGCAUGGCCCUUGUGCAAGGAUGACACGCAAAUUUAUGAAGCAUUUCAUAAUUUU
ensembl:snRNA U6 U6 spliceosomal RNA